CGGUUAUCGGAGUGAAUGUAAACAGCUCGCGUCCCCCGCCCAAGCUACUCUUGCUGGUCAAGUAUUUAGGACAUGCGACUUGCGUCAGUGCCCGUCAUUGAUGUGACGUGCUUGCUUGGCCGAGGAAUGCUUAUUCAAAAGUUCAUAGUUAAACCCUUCCAUUGUAUCAUCAUAAACCUACUCUGACUGGGGGUAAAAAGAGUUGAUAAAAAAAUAUAUUUAUACAUCUCAAUAUACGCAAUAAUUUAAUCGGCUGAGAAUUAGUAAACAAAACUGGUUUUUUUCUCAGUUUUCAUGGGUCAUUCUAUUAAUUUAUAAUAUGUCAUAUCUACGUAAGGCCUGUACCGUAAAGUUUGUUACAACUUCUGCAAAUGAGAAAGUAUAAGUUACAAAAAGAGUUAUUAUUUUCUGCUUUUGUGGCUCACUUUGUUACAUUUUGGGCCCUACACUGAUAUACCUAAUAUUUAUGUUAUAACUGAAAAACAUUAAAAUAGAGAAUCAUAAAAGAAUGCGGAGAGCAACUUCAGUAGAAUCCAAAAAGGAAGAGACAAAGACAUACUAAGCGGAUGUCAUAUAAAGCAUAGUUGUACAACUUCUUAUUUUUGUGAAGUUUUCGAAAUUAAUCUCAAAUUCGUUUGUGAGAGAUAAGUUUUAUUAAGCUUGUGACAAUUAUCAACUAGUCAUUGAGACUCAAAACUAAAACAACUUACACGCCGCGAACGCACCAAACGUCCUCGCAGGGAAAGACGUGGUGACAGCCACGAAAAGCAGUGAAUGUGUCAUAUUAAGCGAUUUGUCACUAUAAGCGAAGUCAUCUUAUCCGACUUUGUUACAAAUAUUUUUUUAUAAAAACCAAACUUCGCACAGUAAUUACGUCAUAGUAAGCGGUUGGUCAGUAUAAGCGGAGUCAUAUUAAUAAACGGAUCCCACUGUAUUUUGCAUCCAAUGCAAUUCAAACCGCUAGCAAUUUCUAAGUUUUGCUAUAAAAUUAUACUAUUUUAGAUUUUUUAUUCUAGACAUAUAUGUUUAUUUCUUCUGUGUAGAAUUGAUCACUUGAAAUUUUAUAACAUAUUAUUUUAUUUUAUAAAAACUGAAUUCGGCUCUAAUUGCAAGGAAAAGGUUUCCUCCUAACCAUAUAUAAAGGAACUAUUAUAUUGUCUGACCGAGUAUUUUAAGGGUUUGUAAUUUUUUAUAGAUGUUAAAGUAUUGAUUCACCUUACUCUUUGAAUCAUAGACUUACAUCUCGCAUCAAUAACUUCCAAUUUAUCUUAAUAGACUUAUUCUUUUAUUUCACAGACACUUCUAACAUCCACUUCAAGCUUCAUUUUGAAUUAUAUACUGCUCAAGCUAUAUAUUGGCAAUAUAUUUAACUGUGGUUCAACUUUCACUACCUUUCUUAUAGACGUAAAAGUUGAGUUAUGAUUUUCAAGAAAAUUUGGGUUAUUCCCACUAGUUACCACCAAGUUGUUACCAGUGGUAACUACUGGGA